rnacentral:rRNA from 1 species
GACGAACGCUGGCGGCGUGCUUAACACAUGCAAGUCGAACGGAGUGGCGAACGGGUGAGUAACACGUGGGUGAUCUGCCUUGCACUCUGGGAUACGCUUGGGGAACUGGGUCGAAUACCGGAGAGUGCAUGAUGAGCUCGCGGCCUAUCAGCUUGUUGGUGGGGUAAUGGCCUACCAAGGGGUCGGCGGGUAGCCGGCAUGAGCGGGUGUACGGCCACCUUGGGUCUGAGAUACGGCCGAGACUCCUACGGGAGGCAGCAGUGGGGAAUUUUGCACAAUGAGCGGAGGCCUGGUGCAGCGACGCCUCGUGGGGUAUGACUGCCUUCGGGUUGUAAACUCCUUUCGACAGUGACGCGGUACCUGUAUAGGAAGCACCGGCUAACUACGUGCCAGCAGCCGCGGUAAUUC